rnacentral:rRNA from 1 species
AAAUGAAUUGACGGGGGCCCGCACAAGCAGAGGAGCAUGUGGCUUAAUUCGAUGCAACGCGAAGAACCUUACCCGGGUUUGACAUGCAGCUGCUCGCCCCGUGAAAGCGGGGCUCCUUCGAGGGUGCUGCACAGGUGCUGCAUGGCUGUCGUCAGUUCGUGCCGUGAGGUGUUUGGUUAAGUCCAGCAACGAACGCAACCCCUGUGUCCAGUUGCCAUCGGGUGAAGCCGGGGACUCUGGACAGACCGCCCGUUCACGCGGGAGGAAGGUGGGGACGACGUCAAGUCAGUAUGGCCCUUACGCCCGGGGCUGCACACGUGCUACAAUGGCCGGCACAAAGGGAAGCGAUGCCGCGAGGCGGAGCCAACCCCCAAAACCGGCCCCAGUUCGGAUCGGGGUCUGCAACCCGACCCCGUGAAGCCGGAUUUGCUAGUAACGGCGCAUCAGCUACGGCGCCGUGAAUACGUUCCCGGGCCUUGUACACACCGCCCGU